rnacentral:rRNA from 1 species
AUGAAACUCUUAGCUUGGAACUGCCGGGGAGUAGGGAAUGAACCGACAGUUUGAGCUUUGCAGGACGUCCAACGAAGCAUACUUCCCGAUGUGAUGUUUUUGUUGGAGACUCGCCUAGAUAACUAUCUGGCUGAAUGCUUAAGACGUAGAUUAGAAAUGGAUCAAAAGAUGAUUUGUGCAGGUGAUGGUAGAAGGGGAGGUCUGAUCCUGUUU